rnacentral:rRNA from 1 species
GUAAUUGGAAUGAUGGGAAUUUAAACCUCUUCCAGAGUAUCAAUUGGAGGGCAAGUCUGGUGCCAGCAGCCGCGGUAAUUCCAGCUCCAAUAGCGUAUAUUAAAAUUGUUGCAGUUAAAAAGCUCGUAGUUGAAUUUCUGCUGCAUUGCAUUUGCUCCUUGACGAGUGUCUGUAUUGCGGCUUAUUUCGGAUUAUGCUUGCAUUUUCCGGAUGUUUACUUUGAGAAAAUUAGAGUGCUCAAAGCAGGCUUUUGCCUUGAAUAGUUUAGCAUGGAAUAAUAAAGUAGGACUUUGGUUCUAUUUUGUUGGUUUUAGGUACCAAAGUAAUGGUUAAUAGGAACAGUUGGGGGCAUUCGUAUUUA